CCCAGGACACUGUAUCGCUGCAUUUGGCUACAAAGCACUUGUGGUGACAGGAUCCCGAUGGCCAAAUCAGCUGCUGGCAGUACACUGCCAGGAUUUACGUUGCAAGGCCUUCCAAGCGUCCCUCGAUUGCUAUCGGUGAGCAGUGCUUUCUGAAACUCAUUCCCACAGGGCGCGCAAGAGAGAACGGGCAGCUGCAGGACAAGCUCCUCCUGACACCGACUGGGAGAGAGAUCAGAACGGAGGCAGAGGCAGAGCGGAGCUGGGGGAGGCUGCAAAGGAGGAUGGACUCAACCAAAGAAAGAACGUCUCCAUCCCAUUCUCCUGGUGCUUUGAAGCACGAUUUGCCGAGCUGUGCAGCAGAAUCAGCACAGACCCCUCCCUUCAGCCCACACGUCGCAGCAGCUCUCCCACUGACAGCGUCUCUUCCGUUGAUAGCUGCAGUCCUUAGGCUUCCCCAGAGCCACCCAGUGCCCCUGUUACCGGCGCUGAGGGCUCAGGUUGUCUCCAGAGUAUGAGGUAUGUGGGCAUGGGACACGCGUGGACGAUCUCUCAUCACGCCGCAGUGGGUCCUCACAGGAGCUCACUGCUUCGACUAUGCAACGUAAGGACCAUUCCCUUCCCUGCAGUACAGACGGUGUGGGCACUCCUGGGUGCCUUUCUGGUGGUGCGUGCCACAGCUUCCAGCAGCCCUUAGCUCAGUAAUCCUCAUGCCCAAGGCACACCUGGGAUAUCACAGCCCUUGUAGGACCGCUUUCCUCCCUCCUGCAUAGCAGAGAUAGCAGGGAAUUGGAGAAAUUGUUUGAUGUUGGGGGAGGGAAGAUUGAGGUUGCAUGUCAGGGGGACGUUCAUUUCAGAGAGGGUGGUGAGGUGCUGGAACAGGUGCCCAGAGAGGCUGUGGAUGCCCCGUCCAUCCCUGGAGGUGUUCGAGGCCAGGUUGGAUGGGGCCCUGGGCAGCCUGGGCUGCUAUCAAAUGUGGAGGUUGGUGGCCCUGCAUGUGGUGGGGGGUUGAAGCUUCAUGAUACUUGUGGUCCUUUCCAACCCAAACCAUUCUGUGAUUCUGUGAAUGCAGUACUCUGCAGAACACGUUAAGACAGUUUUGUGCUCUACAAUUCAACACAUCAGACACAGAAGAAGAAAAGAGUGCCCUUUCCCCCACAUCCCCUCUGACAGGACCGCUUCCAAGGAGGUGCGUUUGGUUGUAAACACCACAUUACUGGAAGUGCAGUGAUGAAAGAAAGGAAAUUCAGAAGGAAUCAAACUCAGGGAAUGCAGUCAAAGCACUGCAGGAAUUAUGCAGAACACACCAACUACACUAGCUUUGUAGGUAAGAAAAGAAGGAACAACGUGGGAAAAUUUGUAAAACAUCUGGAAGAGAUAAAAAAGUAUAGUGUAACAGUAAAGAGUAACGUCCAGGCCAAACAUCAGCUGGGACUUAUCAGUCAAAAUCCCACGAGACACAGAACCAUAGAAUGGCCCGGGUUGCAAAGGCCCACAGUGCUCAUCUGGUUCCAACCCCCUGCUAUGUGCAGUGUCGCCAACCAACAGACCAGGCUGCCAAGAGCCACAUCCAGCCCGGCUUUGAGCGCCACAGCCUCCACAGCCUCCUUGGGCAAUCCGGGACAUCACCCUUACCAUGAUACAAGCAUGAGCUUUGUGGUAAUAGGAGGCAUGCACGCUCUGGAACCUCUCUUGUCCAGCUGUGUCCCAGUUAUCUGUAAGAUAAUAAAUAAAAUUAAAUAAAAAUAAAUGACAUAUUCAGGAUGACACAACAUCUCAACUUCUGUUUUCCUCACAACUUUAACCCAGGAAGCAAACCCCAGCUCAUCUCUCAUCUCAUCUCAUUAGGUUUCAUCUCACUGAUCUGAAACAUUCUGGAGACAAGAGUUACCACAAAACCAGAACCAGGCUGGGCAGAACAGCAUCCCAUGGGAGCUGCCCCAUGCUGCAGCAGAGAACAGAGUGAGACUGAAGGAGCUGCAGAGACAAAUCAUCAUGGGGUGUCCACAACCCUCACUCCCCCGCACUGUCGGUGACAGGAAGAAGAAGCAGAUGAUGGGGAUUUGGUGUUUGUUGUCUUCAGGUUCUCUUCAUAGAAUGGUUUGGGUUUGAAGGGACCUUUCAGACCAUCUCAUUUCAACCCCCUGCUGUAGGCAGGGACACCUCCCACCAGCCCAGGUUGCUCACAGUCCCAUCCAGCCUGGCCUUCAAUGGUUCCAUGGAGGGGGGAAACAACAGCCUCACUGGGCAACCUGCUCCUUUGUCUCACAGCCCUCACAAUAAAGAAUUUCUUCCUAA